CUCCUGCCAGCGAAGAGUUAAGAGUAGGAGGAAUGUGUUGGAGGGCUGCCACAUACCAGUCAUUCCUGUCUGACUCUGCCUUGACCUGCUUUCCCAGGCUCCCUUUGAGGGCUUUGUUUUUCAAGGAUUCCAUUUCCUUGGCUCCCCUCCAGCAGGUUGCUUGGGUCUCCAGUUCGGGGGAAGCAGAGGAAAGACAUGCUUGAGGAGUCUGUAGGAACAUGGUUGCUUGUGGCCUGUAUAGCAGGGACAAGUUGGUUCUUGAAACAAGUCACUACAGGCAGCAAGUAGGUUGGGAAGGGGCAGCCUCCCAGGUGCACAGCAUAUCUGGGCUUCCUGUUAGUCCUAAACCUCACGAUUACUGCUGGUACCUUACAUUCUAAAGAGACCUGCUCUGGCGGCGGCGGCGGCUGCUGCUGCAGCAGCUGCAGAGGUCUCAGAGAGGCAGGGUUUCUGAGCUUAUCUCCCUCUACUGCCUGCCAAGGGCUCUUUCCCUAGAGACUGGGAGAUAAGAUGGCUUCUUUGGUAUCCUCAAUGUAAGAUCAGAGCUUACAUUUGGAGAGGGAUGUGCCCUUAAAGUGCAGUGUUACUCUGAAAAACCAGAGGGCAAAAUGGUGCCUUGGAACUAAAGCCAGGUAAAAGGAACUGAGUGGGCACCUGGCCAAAAGAGCCAAUGGGAAGACUAGAACUUUUUAAAAUUGAAAGAAGACUCCCCUUUUGUCAAUCUGUUGUUGUUGUGGUUGUUCUCCCAGAGAUGAGAGACAGGGCUGGAGCUAUGCUGUAAAAAGCUGUGGGCCAGGUAUGAAAAUCACCAGAUCAUGCCAAGAACAACUUAUUUGAAACCCCAGGUAUGUAAGUAGAUCACGAAAUGUCUAGGAAGACAUGAUUAGGUUUAUCUCUUUUAUUUAUUUAUGGCUUGUGGAUUCCUCUGUGCUAACCCCAGGUGCUUUUGUUUUGCUUGUAACCUUUAAGCUGGAUCUCAAGAAAACCAUUCUUGAUGCUUAAUUAUUAUAUUUGCUCUUUUUAAAUCUAGCAAUAGCCUAAAUUCCAGAUGUAUUUUCUUUCUUUCUUUCAUAAAAUUUACCCUUUUUAAGAGCAGGAUUGGGUUUUUGUGUCCUAAGAGGUUUGUACAUAUGUUGUUUAAUUAGCUGGUGACAACAGUUGAUUUCCUUUGUUUUUCCUCAGCUCUUCCCCAAAGGGGGUGGUGAAAGGGCUUGAGAGUACCCCACAGGGAGGAAUUCCCAAGUGCGCCUUCCUGGGUUCAAAGGGUUUUUUUUGUUGUUGGUUUUUUUUUGCAUUUGGGUGGUGGCAGCAUCUACCCAUCCAAGGUCAGAGAGAAGCUGUAGCUUUGGGAGUUUAAGACCAGCCAGGAGUGGCCAGUAUUAAUUUUUAGAAUCCUUGUGGGCCCCCACCUUCUGCACUCGAAGUGCCAGAGUGGGGAAUCAACCUUGACAUGGUGGCAGAGCAGUGGGAUCAUUUUGAAUCAGAAGCACAGACCUCAGGGUUUUAAAAGGACACAUUUUCCUUUUGGCAGCCUGCAAAGCCUGGAAGGGUUUUUUUUUUUCCCUUUCUUUCUAUUCUUUUCUUUGCUGCCUGAGGGAGAACAGGCAUGAAAAAGGUUCAGACAGUCAAGCCAGAGAGUCCAACAAGCAGUUUAUUUUAUUUUUUCCUUAGGUUCUUGGCAAUGAAAUAGCUAGGCUAUAGUAGGGCAGCCCUGUGCAUGAGGUUGAGGUCAGGGACCAAAUCCCUAGAGAAACCAGUCUUCCCAAAGCAGCACGCCACAGAGAAGACAGACCCAGAUCAAGCCCAGACAUCCAGCUCCAUGACGGAAAUGCAGGGAGGGGAUGGGGUAAUGAAGAUUUCCCAGAAGAGAAGGGUCAGCCCGCCCCGAACUAAGAUCUCAGUGCCAGGAUGGAGGAAUGCCCUUAACAAAGGCCAAGUUCUAACUGAGGAUGAAAGGAAUUUCUUCUUAGAGAUGAAAUGUUUGGAAGUGGAGGACAAGCAUUUGGAGACAGAAAUAGAAAUGAAUUGUUUGGAGGUGGAAGCGGAAAAGAAGAGAGAGGUGAAGUGGUUGGAAGUGGAGCUGAAACACUUAGAGCUGGAAAAGGCUAAGCUGGAUCAAUCAGGUAGCCCUAACAAUCCUUCUCCAGGUACUGCUCCCCAUUUCAAAAAAUUCCCCACAUACAAGGUAGGCAAUGAUACAGAAGCUUUCUUAGAAAAUUUUGAAAGGGCCUGCCUUGGGUACAACAUCCCUACAGACCAGUAUAUGGUGGAGCUCAGUGGACCCUCAGUGGACCCUUAGUAGAUGUGGCAGCUGAAAUGUCUAAAGAACACAUGAACAAGUACGAACUUUUUAAACAAAAGGCCAGAAUUAGAAUGGGGCUAACACCCGAGCAGGCCCGUUGGCAGUUCAGAGCCCUAAGGGGGAAACCAGACCUGGCAUUUUCCUGACACGUCUACCAGAUUGUAAAAAAUUGGGAUGCCUGGAUAUCAGGAGCAAGUGUUAAGUCUGUGGAAGAUCUGUCUCUCCUCAUGCAAAUGGGGCAGCUCUUAGAGGGUGUUCCUGAGGAAAUAGAAAGAUACAUCCUAGAUGGGAAGUCCAAAACUGUAACUGAAGUGGGGAGAUGGGAGCCAAAUGGGUGGAGGUGCCGGGGAAGAAGAAAGUUACGAGCAUUUGGUGCAGAUACCAGAAGGGGCAACCCGAGAUGACACUCCACCAUCGGGGUCAGCCCAAAGCCCCACCUCACAAGGAGCAGCCAUCCACACAUCCAGGGAUACCCCAGAUGCCCUCUUGUCCUACCACCUACUCUCCAACCACCCACAUCGCCUCAGCCCACAGUCAGCUGGGAGAUGCUUCAAAUGUAAUGAGUUGGGGCAUGUGAAGGCCAACUGCCCCAAGAGCAACAGCUGACUGCAACUCAUCACCCCGGGGCCCCACCAAGAGUCUUCAGGCCCAGAUGCCUUGCAAAUACCGUCAGAGCGAACGGAAACUGUGAGUGUGGGCAGGAGGAAGAUUACUGGGUGGAGAGACACUGGAGCACAGGUGUCAGCUAACCACCAAUCCCUGGUGGACCCCAAAUUCAUCGACCCAGAGUCCCAGGUGACAGUGCAACCCUUUAAGGCCAACUCUUUUAACUUCCCUUCAGCCAAGCUACCUGUCCAGAACAAGGGCUGGUCAGGAAUAUGGACUUUUGCAAUCUAUGAUUAUUAUCCCAUUCCCUUGCUGCUGGGAGAAGUCUUAGCCAACCAUGCAUGUCUAACAAAAAGGGUAGGGAUGGUCACCCACAGCCAGGCUAACAGGCCUCCACACCUAACUCCAUUCCUGAGCCUCCUGAACCAAAGGUGAUGAAAACAGACCCCAGACCAAAGUCUAUGGGAGUAGUUGUAGAUCCAGUUCCUGGGACCCAGCCAGAACCAGCCCAAGAAUCAAAACUGGUGGAGCAGUCAGCACCAGAACCCAUGCUUGCAACCCCACCAGAGUCAGGGGAGUCAGCCCCAAAGGGCACCACAGAGCCUGCACCUGCAGCAGCAGCUAAACUGGCACAAGAAGCUCAACUGGAGCCUGAAAUACAACUUAGUGCACCAGCAGAAAGUGGUUCACAAUCGACGGAGACAAUCCCAUCACCUGCAUCGCUUCCAGUGGGACCAAGCCCAAGUCCACAACCCAGUGAGGAACUAAUGUCUCCAGCAUCAAGGGAGAGCGGAUGAAAGCCUCAAGGGAGCUUAGAUGGCAGCACGGAACGACCCACUGCCUCUCAGCUCUUCCAAUAGGUCCAGGUUUGUUGUAGAAGGAGGACUCUUAUACAAGGAAACCCUUUCUGGUGAGCACAAGGAGGACUGGCAUUCUCAGAGACAACUGAUAGUUUCAAUUAAGUGUGGGGAAAAGCUCUUGAGCUUAGCUCACAAUCACCCUAGUGGCCAUGCUGGGGUGAACAGGACCAAAGACUGUUUGGGGAAGCCAUUUCACUGGAGGGAAUGGGCAAAGACAUUUCUACCUAUGUCCGGUCUUGUGAGGUUUGCCAGAGGGUAGGAAAGACCCAAGACCAGGUCAAGGCCCCUCUCCAGCCACUCCCCAUCAUUGAGGUUCCAUUUCAGCGUGGAUAUUCCGGGUCCUUUCCCUAAGAAGACACCUAGAGGAAAGCUAUACAUACUGACCUUCAUGGAUUUUGCCACCUGAUGUCCGGAAGCAGUAGCUCUAAGCAACACCAGGGCUAAAAGCAUGAGCUAGGCAUUGGCAAACAUUUUUGCCAGGGUAGAUUGCCACCCCAAUAUCCUUAUGGAUUCGGGAACUAACUUCCUGGCAUGGACCAUGAAAUGUCUUUGGGAAGCUUAUAGGGUUAACCACUUGCUUGCCACCCCUUACCACCAUCAAACGAAUGGCCUAGCGGAGAAGUUUAAUGGAACUUUGGGGGCCAUGAUAUGUAAAUUCAUGAAUGAACACUCCAAUGAUUGGGAUCUAGUGUUGCAGCAGUUGCUCUUUGCCUACAGGGCUGUACCACAUCCCAGUUUGGGUUUUUCACCCUUUGAACUCAUUUAUGGCCACCAAGUUAAGGGGCCAUUACAGUUGGUGAAGCAGCAACGAGAGGGGAUUACAUCUUCUCCGGAAACUAACAUUUUGGACUUUGUAAACAACCUGCAAAACACCCUGAAGGACUCUCUAAUCCUUGCUUGAGAAAACCUAAAGGAUGCUCAACAAGAGCAAAAGACCUGAUAUGAUAAACAUGCCAGAGAGCGUUCCUUCAAUGUAGGUGACCAAGUCAUGGUCCUGAAAGUGCUCCAGGCCAAUAAGAUGGAAGCAUUGUGGGAGGGGCCAUUUAUGGUCCAAGAGCACCUGGGAGCUGUUAAUUACCUUAUAGUGUUCCGAUACCCUACCCUAAAUCCUAAAGUGUACCAUGUUAAUUCUCUAAAGACCUUUUAUUCCUGAGAAAUCAAGGUUCUCCAGUUUACAGCCCAGGAGAGAGAUGACACUGAGUGGCCUGAAGGAGUCUACUAUGAAGGAAAAAGCAAUGGUGGCGUGGAAGAAGUGAGCCUUUCCAUAACCCUUGUGCGAAAACAGCAACAGCAAAUCCAGGAGCUGUGCACCAGCUUCACAAUGAAGUUUUCAGCCACCCCAGGAUGGCCAGAAUGGGCAUACCACUCCAUUGACACAGGAGCCUCUAAGAAAGUGGCUGAUGUACUCUCCUGGGAAGGUUUCCCAGAAUCAGCCAGGAAGAAAUCCCAGCCGGUGUGGACCUGACCUGAACCAGACUGGCCAGCACUGUCUGAUUUGGGGGGCGUCUGAUAAAUGAAGGGCAGGGUAGCUCUCCUUGAUGGACACUCAGGCAGCCCGUUAGAUGUAUUUUCUUCCUUUUUUGUUUUUAAUAGAAUUUUCCUUUUUAAAUAACAGGAUUGGGUUUUUGUGUCCAAAGAGGUUUGGGCAUAUGAUAUUUAAUUAGAUGGUGGCAACAGUUGAUUUCCUUUGUUUUUUUUUUCUCAGCUCUUCCCUGGAAGGAGGAGUGAAAGGGCUUGAGGGUACCCCAUAGGGAGGAAUUCCCAAGUGCGCCUUCCUGGGUUCUAAGGAUUGGGUUUUUUGCAUUUGGGUGGUGGCAGCAUCUACCCAUCCAAGGUCAGAGAGAAGUUGUAACUUUGGGAGAUUAAUAUAAAACUGGAGGGGCCAGUAUUAAUUUUUAGAAUCCU